rnacentral:rRNA from 1 species
AGCGAACGCUGGCGGCAUGCUUAACACAUGCAAGUCGCACGGGCAGUUUCGGCUGUCAGUGGCGGACGGGUGAGUAACGCGUAGGUAUCUAUCCUCAGGUGGGGGACAACCGUGGGAAACUACGGCUAAUACCGCAUGACAACUGAGGUUCAAAGGCGCAAGUCGCCUGGGGAGGAGCCUGCGUACGAUUAGCUAGUUGGUGGGGUAAAGGCCUACCAAGGCUACGAUCGUUAGCUGGUCUGAGAGGAUGAUCAGCCACAUUGGGACUGAGACACGGCCCAAACUCCUACGGGAGGCAGCAGUGGGGAAUAUUGGACAAUGGGCGCAAGCCUGAUCCAGCAAUGCCGCGUGUGUGAAGAAGGUCUUCGGAUUGUAAAGCACUUUCGACGGGGACGAUGAUGACGGUACCCGUAGAAGAAGCCCCGGCUAACUUCGUGCCAGCAGCCGCAGUAAAAC